CAGCCGCGGUAAUUCCAGCUCCAAUAGCGUAUACUAAAGUUGUUGCGGUUAAAAAGCUCGUAGUUGGAUCUUGGAAUGUGUUCAAGCGGGUCAGCUUCUGGCUGUGCGCUGCUUGACGUGUUCUUCUAUUUGGUUUUGGUGCGGUGCGCUUAACUGCGUGUCGCUCCCGGCCGAAACGUUUACCUUGAAAAAAUUAGAGUGUUCAAAGCAGACCUGUUUGAGUCUGAAUAUUCGUGCAUGGAAUAAUGAAAUAUGAAUUCGGUUCUAUUUUGUUGGUUUUCGGAACUCGAGUUAAUGAUCAAGAGGGACAGACGGGGGCAUUCGUACUCUGCCGUUAGAGGUGAAAUUCUUGGAUCGGCGGAAGACGCGCAACUGCGAAAGCAUUUGCCAAGAAUGUUUUCUUUAAUCAAGAACGAUAGUCGGAGGUUCGAAGACGAUCAGAUACCGUCCUAGUUUCGACUGUAAACUAUGCCAGCUAACGAUCAGACAGAGUUCUCUACGACUUGUCUGGCAGUUUCCGGGAAACCAAAGCGUUUGGGUUCCGGGGGAAGUAUGGUUGCAAAGCUGAAACUUAAAGGAAUUGACGGAAGGGCACCACCAGGAGUGGAGCCUGCGGCUUAAUUUGACUCAACACGGGGAAACUCACCCGGCCCGGACACAGUGAGGAUUGACAGAUUGAGAGUUCUUUCUUGAUUCUGUGGGUGGUGGUGCAUGGCCGUUCUUAGUUGGUGGAGCGAUUUGUCUGGUUAAUUCCGAUAACGAACGAGACUCUGGCAUGUUAAAUAGUCGCGGAAGUGCGUAUGCACUUGCCGAAUCGACUUCUUAGAGGGACUAGUGAUUUUAAUUCACACGAGAUUGAGCAAUAACAGGUCUGUGAU
rnacentral:rRNA from 1 species